ACGGACUUCUUCUUCUACACGGAGUUUGACUCCACCCACCCGCAUAGCCCUCCCCGAUGUCAUGAAGUCGACGAUUCGACCCGAUAUCGUCAACUUCGUCCACUCCAAAAUCUCGAAGAAUAAGAGGCAACCCUAUGCUGUCUCUGAGCGUGCCGGCCACCAAACCUCAGCUGAGUCAUGGGGAAUAGAUAGAGUCGUCUCAACUCUCAUGUAUUCCUCGUGUUUCUGGCGGUGGUACCCACAGAGAGCUGCUAUCAAGGUUGUCAAGGAUGUGGGGUUUGAACUACCACCAUCUGGGCAAUAUGUAAUUGGAACAUAUGCCCACUACGGAGAACCAUAGGGAGGAAAGCAACGAGGGUUUUGCCAAGGUUGCAGAGUCUCUUGGUCAUACAGUCCUUCGGUGGCGAGUAGUGCCAACUGAUAACACUAGAUUGGGAAAUUCUGCUUUGCAAACUGAAUCUUUUAUUGAGCAAGUCCGUGUAUUAGCUAGAAAAUAUUUAUAGAAGCUUCACUAUUUGGGUUAAUGCACGGGAUCUUCUGCCAUUCAACUUUCAAAGCUUCAAACAUUGGUUUCGUGGAGGCUUCAGUAUGUGGGAUUGUGAAGAUUAGUGUUUAAAUUCUAUGCUGAUUAGAUAUGCGUCAGGCUUGUGAAUCAUGCUAGAAUAUGUGCUCCUCAAGUCCAUUGUAGUUUCGAAUAGCCUAUUAUAUGGCAGUUGAGGGAGACCUUGCAUAUCUGUUGUACCUUGAUUUUCAAAUGUUUCAGCAGCAGAUGGUAAAGAUUCGUGCGGAUGGAUUCACAACAGAGUGACAAAAUUAAGAUGAUGUUCAUAUUGCUUACGUUGCAGAAUGUGUAAACUUUACUGUCAAUUGCUCCUCUUUGUUAAUCACCAAAAGAGGAUCAACUACUUAUGUGUCAAAAACUUCUGUUUACUAAUCUUGUUUAAAUUAGAAUGGUUGUUUACAUGUGAUUCUUUA